UAUAUCGGAUUUUAUUGGCUUUUUAUGCUGUAUUAAUCCAAAGGGAGUAUCACCGGAUUCACUGAAUGGAUUAUUGCCCGGUAUCAAUAAGGAUAUAAAAAAAGCGCCCGCAGGCGCUUUUAAGGAAAG
rfam:Enterobacter aerogenes KCTC 2190, complete genome.